rfam:Escherichia vulneris NBRC 102420 DNA, contig: EV10242026.
ACGGUUAUAAAUCAAGGCUUUGAUUUAUAAGCAUGGAAAUCCCCUGAGUGAAACAACGAAUUGCUGUGUGUAGUCUUUGCCCAUCUCCCACGAUGGGCUUUUUUUUAA